rnacentral:misc_RNA from 1 species
UCUCCGUAGGUGAACCUGCGGAGGGAUCAUUACAGAGAUCAUGCCCCUCGCGGGUAGACCUCCCACCCUGUGUUAUUUACGAUUGUUGCUUUGGCAGGUCGCCUUCGGGCACUCGGCUCCGGCUGAGGUGCGCCUGCCAGAGGACCCCAACUCUGUGUUUAGUGUCGUCUGAGUACUAUUUUAAUACGUUAAAACUUUCAACAACGGAUCUCUUGGUUCUGGCAUCGAUGAAGAACGCAGC